rnacentral:rRNA from 1 species
GAUGAACGCUAGCGGCAGGCUUAACACAUGCAAGUCGAGGGGUAUUGGUUUUCGGACCAAGAGACCGGCGCACGGGUGCGUAACGCGUAUGCAAUCUACCUUUUGCAGAGGGAUAGCCCCAGAGAAAUUUGGAUUAAUACCUCAUAGUAUGUGAGGAUGGCAUCAUUUUCACAUUAAAGUCACAACGGCAAAAGAUGAGCAUGCGUCCCAUUAGCUAGUUGGUAAGGUAACGGCUUACCAAGGCUACGAUGGGUAGGGGUCCUGAGAGGGAGAUCCCCCACACUGGUACUGAGACACGGACCAGACUCCUACGGGAGGCAGCAGUGAGGAAUAUUGGACAAUGGGCGCAAGCCUGAUCCAGCCAUGCCGCGUGCAGGAAGAAGCAUCUAUGGUGUGUAAACUGCUUUUGUACGGAANAAACACUCCUACGUGUAGGAGCUUGACGGUACCGUAAGAAUAAGG